rnacentral:rRNA from 1 species
UACGUAGGGUGCGAGCGUUAAUCGGAAUUACUGGGCGUAAAGCGUGCGCAGGCGGUGAUGUAAGACAGAUGUGAAAUCCCCGGACUCAACCUGGGAACUGCAUUUGUGACUGCAUCGCUGGAGUGCGGCAGAGGGGGAUGGAAUUCCGCGUGUAGCAGUGAAAUGCGUAGAUAUGCGGAGGAACACCGAUGGCGAAGGCAAUCCCCUGGGCCUGCACUGACGCUCAUGCACGAAAGCGUGGGGAGCAAACAGG